UGGGGAAUUUUGGACAAUGGGGGAAACCCUGAUCCAGCCAUCCCGCGUGUGCGAUGAAGGCCUUCGGGUUGUAAAGCACUUUUGGCAGGAAAGAAACGUCGCGGGUUAAUACCCCGCGAAACUGACGGUACCUGCAGAAUAAGCACCGGCUAACUACGUGCCAGCAGCCGCGGUAAUACGUAGGGUGCAAGCGUUAAUCGGAAUUACUGGGCGUAAAGCGUGCGCAGGCGGUUCGGAAAGAAAGAUGUGAAAUCCCAGAGCUUAACUUUGGAACUGCAUUUUUAACUACCGGGCUAGAGUGUGUCAGAGGGAGGUGGAAUUCCGCGUGUAGCAGUGAAAUGCGUAGAUAUGCGGAGGAACACCGAUGGCGAAGGCAGCCUCCUGGGAUAACACUGACGCUCAUGCACGAAAGCGUGGGGAGCAAACAGGAUUAGAUACCCUGGUAGUCCACGCCCUAAACGAUGUCAACUAGCUGUUGGGGCCUUCGGGCCUUGGUAGCGCAGCUAACGCGUGAAGUUGACCGCCUGGGGAGUACGGUCGCAAGAUUAAAACUUAAAUGAAUUGACGGGGUCAUAGCUG
rnacentral:rRNA from 1 species